UAACUUAGUAGGUAAAGGUCUCGUUUAGCAUACAAGAGUCGUGAGUUCGAAUCUCAC
rnacentral:tRNA from 1 species